rnacentral:tRNA from 1 species
GGAGAGAGCUCAGGGGCAGAGCUCCUGCCCAGCAUGCACAAAGUCCUGGGUUCAAUUCCCAGUAACUCCA